rnacentral:rRNA from 1 species
GAUGAACGCUGGCGGCGUGCCUAAUACAUGCAAGUCGAGCGAACGGACGAGAAGCUUGCGUCUCUGAUGUUAGCGGCGGACGGGUGAGUAACACGUGGAUAACCUACCUAUAAGACUGGGAUAACUUCGGGAAACCGGAGCUAAUACCGGAUAAUAUUUUGAACCGCAUGGUUCAAAAGUGAAAGACGGUCUUGCUGUCACUUAUAGAUGGAUCCCCGCUGCAUUAGCUAGUUGGUAAGGUAACGGCUUACCAAGGCAACGAUGCAUAGCCGACCGGAGAGGGUGAUCGGCCACACUGGAACUGAGACACGGUCCAGACUCCUAAGGGAGGCAGCAGUAGGGAAUCUUCCGCAAUGGGCGAAAGCCUGACGGAGCAACGCCGCGUGAGUGAUGAAGGUCUUCGGAUCGUAAAACUCUGUUAUUAGGGAAGAACAUAUGUGUAAGUAAAUGUGCACAUCUUGACGGUACCUAAUCAGAAAGCCACGGCUAACUACGUG